UUGUAAUUCUUGACCUUAAAAAUAGUAGUUUUACCCCCCAAAAGUGGUCCACUUACUACCUUGCUAGCUUUUUGUCAUCUCCAUGACAACGGAGAUAACUUCUUCCGGCGAUGAAGACCAUGAGAUACGGUUGCAUGUUCGGAAGAAGCUAGUUUUUCUGGACAUGUCUAACAGGGAGGAGAGCCCAGGGAAGAACCAGGACUUACUGGAGGGACUGUACCUCCCGGUCUGGCCUGGGGACACACAUCAGGAUCCCCCCCCAGGAAGAGCUGGAAGACAUGAGGCUGAUGAGAGGCACGCCUGGGCUUCCUCGCCUGCUGCCACCACACCCAGAUUAACAGCAGAGAAUAGACUGAUGGAUAUAAAAUAUAAACAACAUGAAUAUUAUAUAUAAAAAGUAAACUAACUUCCUGCCAUGUCGGACGGCAUUCGAACAGUCCUAUAAUAGUCCUAAAAUAAAAUAAAUACUCUCAAUGGUAUAAUGGUCAUUUUUUAAAGACUGUGUCAAGGGUAUUUU